GUUGAAGUGACAGAAUUUGAAGA
rnacentral:piRNA from 1 species